rnacentral:rRNA from 1 species
GACGAACGCUGGCGGCGUGCUUAACACAUGCAAGUCGAACGGAAAGGCCCUGCUUGCAGGGUACUCGAGUGGCGAACGGGUGAGUAACACGUGGGUGAUCUGCCCUGCACUUCGGGAUAAGCCUGGGAAACUGGGUCUAAUACCGGAUAGGAGCCAUUUUUAGUGUGAUGGUUGGAAAGUUUUUUCGGUGUAGGAUGAGCUCGCGGCCUAUCAGCUUGUUGGUGGGGUAAUGGCCUACCAAGGCGGCGACGGGUAGCCGGCCUGAGAGGGUGGACGGCCACAUUGGGACUGAGAUACGGCCCAGACUCCUACGGGAGGCAGCAGUGGGGAAUAUUGCACAAUGGGCGCAAGCCUGAUGCAGCGACGCCGCGUGGGGGAUGACGGCCUUCGGGUUGUAAACUCCUUUCGCUAGGGACGAAGCUUUUUGUGCCGGUACCUAGAUAAGAAGCACCGGCUAACUACGU